rnacentral:rRNA from 1 species
CAGAGAUGUACAGUAUAGGUGGGAUGCUUUGAAACCAGGACGCCAGGUUUGGCGGAGUCAUCCUUGGGAUACCACCCUUGUAGUACUGGGACUCUAACCAUAGGCCAUGAAUCUGGUCUUGGGACACUGUCAGGUGGGCAGUUUGACUGGGGCCGUCGCCUCCCAAAAGGUAACGGAGGCGCUCAAAGGUUCUCUCAGUACGGUCGGAAAUCGUACGUAGAGUGUAAAGGCACACGUGUGCUUGAUGGCAAUACAUACAGGUCGGGCGAGAAUGAAAAUCGGACUUAGUGAUCCUGUGGUUCUGCGUGUAAGGGCCAUCGCUCAACGGAUAAAUGCUACCCUGGGGAUAAC